AGCCGCUCUCCCUGGAGCCUGCGGAGCUGCCUGGCCCCGGGGGCCGUGCUGAGGACCCACCUUGGCGGGGUUGAGGGCGGUGAUGACCCACACGCAGUAGGCGUUGUUGUCGUACUGCACGGGGUAGUUGGGGGACGUGAUGACCCCGCUGGGCCCGCGCAGAUCAAAUCCCUAAAAAACACUGCACAGCGAGGAUUUAUUAGGUCAUUAUUAAGUAUUUAUCAGCUGGUUUCCUUCUGUGGGCUCAGAACUAAGGUGGAAACUCAGCUCUGCAUCUUCAAAACAUCUCAGGAGAUGUAUUUGCAUGUGUGGAGACUGCAAGAUUUUUUUUUUUUCUCUGUAAAACAAUGGAGAAAUCAUCUCCAUGCCAAGCUGUGGGAACAUUGGGAAUGGCUGGGAAGCAGCUUUGGAAUGAGCUGAGGUCACUUAUCCAGGAUGCUGAACCACUCCUGCCUCAUCCUGGAGCUCCCACAGUGUUAAA